rnacentral:rRNA from 1 species
UACAGAGGGUGCAAGCGUUGUUCGGAAUUAUUGGGCGUAAAGGGCGCGUAGGCGGUGCUAUAAGUCUGUGGUGAAAUCUCCCGGCUCAACUGGGAGGGUGCGCCGAAUACUGAAUGACUAGAGUGCGGGAGAGGAGAGUGGAAUUCCUGGUGUAGCGGUGGAAUGCGUAGAGAUCGGGAAGAACACCAGUGGCGAAGGCGACUUACUGGACACAUAUUGACGCUGAGGUGCGAAAGCGUGGGGAGCGAACAGG